UUGCUCUGGCUGAAAUUUUAAAAAAUCCACGAUGAACAGGAAAUCCAUGACAUCCACACCAAGCGCACUACUGUUCUCCAUGCCCUUCCUGUGUAUCUGCGCGAGGACGUUCCUGGAUUUUUCAGAACCUGCACAGAUGAGUCUGAUGAGCCAGAGCUUGAUGGUGUUGCAGUGGGCCUCCUUACUGUCAUCAGUGACCAUGACACAAGUCCAGUUCCCUACCAGCCUGU